UGCUCGAUGGCCUAGUAGUUAGAGCCUCCGCCUCGGAUACGAGAGGUCACAGGUUCGAACCCCGGCCGAGUCA